rnacentral:lncRNA from 1 species
CAACGCAGAGGGGCCAUAUACAGCCGGAUACCACUUCGACCCGGAUGCAAAGCCAGCAGUAAUUUAUUUCGGGCAAAGCAUGUCUGCAUUCAUUGAGUGUAGUAAAAUACAGGAUAUCGAGCCAGAAUGGUUGUCAAGGUUUGAACCUCUGGCAACCCUUAAGUAUUUUUAAGAGGACAAC